rnacentral:rRNA from 1 species
CUCUGNGAGAGUAAAUAAUUUUUAAAACUAAUUGACAUGGCGGUUCUUUAUCCAAUCAGAGGGGUGUGUGUUUAAACGAAGUUACACGAAAAUCUUACCUAAACUAUCAAUUAACUUUUAUUCAUUAAUUAAAGUUUUAAUAAAUUUUGUACACCUCCGUCGGAAGGAUACUUUGAAAAAAUUAUCCUAUAUCUUUAACAAAGAUAUAAGUCAGGUCAAGGUGCAGAUUAUGUUUAGGUUUACAUGCAUUUCUGUAAAA